UUCCUUAUGUUUAGUCAGAAUCUCAUUUCUUGUGAAUUGAAGUCAUUGGUACAAGUUCUCCAAGCAGGAGAAAACAAGCUUGCUCCAGCUCCCACAUGACAACCCCUAAGAUAUUUGAAGAUGACUAUCAUCUCUCCUGUCUCCUCUUGUCCAAGCUAAACAUACCCAGCUACUUCAACC